rnacentral:rRNA from 1 species
GGCCAGCAGCCGCGGUAAAACGUAGGUGGCGAGCGUUAUCCGGAUUCACUGGGCGUAAAGGGCCUGCAGGCGGCUCUGUAAGUGGGAUGUGAAAUCUCCUGGCUCAACUGGGAGGGGUCAUUCCAUACUGCGGGGCUGGAGGGCAGAAGAGGGAAGUGGAAUUCCCGGUGUAGUGGUGAAAUGCGUAGAUAUCGGGAGGAACACCAGUGGCGAAGGCGACUUCCUGGUCUGCACCUGACGCUAAGAGGCGAAAGCUAGGGGAGCGAACGGGAUUAGAAACCCCGGUAGUCCUAGCCGUAAACGAUGGAUGCUGGGUGUCGGUGGUCCUAACCCCAUCGGUGCCGAAGCGAACGCGUUAAGCAUCCCGCCUGGGGACUACGGCCGCAAGGUUAAAACUCAAAGGAAUUGACGGGGGCCCGCACAAGC